rnacentral:lncRNA from 1 species
AGAUACUAAGAGUAACAUGCAACUUAAUAGUUCUACCAAGAGUCGAAACGAACACCCAUAACGGUUCAGAAUUACAGUCCACAAUGAAUUUAACACGGCAUUCGAAGUUCAAUUAUGCCGACCCCAAAAUACAAACAGAAAGUUCAAUUCAGACUUCCUGUUCUUCAACUCUUCAGUCUUGCACCAAAAGUAUUGAAUCGAACAGAGACCUUCACUUCAGACUUCCUGUUCAUCCACCCGUUAGUCUUCAUCAAACCAAAAGCUCUUUUGCUCCCAUGCCGCUUAACCUUGCAAUUAAAGCAUUGUGAAUUAUAUAAACAUUACAAGUAGAUGGCAGAAACAACAAUUCAAUGAUGGCAACCGCAAUUAGAACAACAUAUAAAAUCAUAUGGGCAGAAACAAUGUGAAUUAUAUAAAUAUUACAAGUAGACGGAAGAAACAACUCAUAGAUGACAACCCAAAUUAAAACAACAUAUAAAUUCAGAUGGACUAAAGCAUUGUGAAUUAUAUAAACAUUACAAGUAGAUGACAGCAAUAACUCAUAGAUGGCAGCCCCAAUUGAAACACCAUAUAGAAUCAUAUGGACUAACGCAUUGUGAAUUAUAUAAACAUCAAGUAGAUGGCAGAAACAACAGUUAAUAGAUGGCAACCCCAAUUGAAACAACAUAUAAAAUCAUAUGGACUAAAGCAAACACCACAUGUUUAUGACAGAAUAUAAGAAAGUGCAUAAAUGGGAAAUUUUUGAUGUCAUCACAAGGAACUUACUUGUCAAUUGUAAAGGCUGGUGACCUCCUUCACCUUCUUUGCUUGCCUAACCCGUUCAGAUCUACGGUUCACCAAACUACCAUCACUUGUUACCUCAACAUUGUUUCCAACUUGGCUUGUUAAAUCCUUUUCAACUUGCAUUGGCGCAUCUCCUCCAUCAGAUUGACUUGCACCAUCAUCAUGGCUAUCAUCAUCAUCAUCAAUUUCCAGGUCCAGCUCCUCAUUUUCUUCAUCAUCAUCCUCACUAUCAUGGUAGUCAUCCUCUUCUUCCUCUACCCUCUUUCUUUUCCUGCCAUUGUCCUUCCUUGCAAGACGAGAAACUUUCCUACUUGAGUUAAGCAAACGUAUUUUCUCAAAUACGACACUAGCAGCAUCAACUCCAUCCAAGAUUGCAUGCUCCUCAUCCUCAUUUAACCAUUCCAUCAUAGGAUUUGUUGCAUCAAACAUGGUUGUAUCCAUCAUCAUUGCACAUGCAUCAACUUCCUUCUGCUUAUCAUUCUCUCUCACCGGGUCUUCUUCUUCUUCAGCACGUAUCUUCAAAAUGUGAAAACAAAAUCAGUCAAUGACAAAGAAGUACAAAGAAUAAAAUGGAUAAAGUUGCUAUGUAUAAAACAAUGCUUAUUAGAUAGCAGCCCUUACUCUAAAUAUUGCUAAGUAAACAUCAACAUUUACUUUAAAUAACAACCUAGUAACAGUCUUUAAUAAAUAGUAGCAUUUACUUAGUAAACAACAUCCUUUAUUUCAAACAAUGCUUAGUAAACAACAGUAUGCAGGUGAAUCAUGGCAUAUGGGUGAAUAAUGGCAUAUGGGCAAAACAUAUUUCAUACCUUCAAGUUGUAGCGCACAGAUACAAGCUUGUGCAGCUUGCCAUAUAGAAGACGGUUUCUUUGCUUGGUGUGGACCAAAGCAAAAGCGCUCCAAUUCCUCUCACAGCCACUUGACGAAACGCAUUGUGAUACAAUCCUCAAGGCACACUUCUGCAGAUUAGGAACUUCCCUCUUCUUCCGCAUUGAGUCAUCCCGGGAUUCCCUCAUUGCAGCACAAAUAUUUCUUGGAACAUUAGGGCACUCCCUCACAUCACCUGGUAUACCUCCAAGGUGCUCCCUAAAGCGGGUUGCACCUCCUCCUCUAGUGAUUAGGGGGCAGUACCGACAAACAAAUCCCCCACCAAACUUCGGGCCAUGGUUCCAAAUAUAAUAGAUGUCAUUGCUUACAAGCCCUACAUAUCAAAAUUUCAAGCACCAUGUUAGCAAUGCAUCAUGAUAUAUAGCUACAACACACUAAACAACAUUUCAACUCUAAAUGCAUCAUAAUACAAAAUAAAAACUGAGUAAGGAAUAAAAAAGAAUGAACCAGGACAAUAACAAGAAUUAGCAUAAUGUUUACAACAGAAUAAACAACAUUUCUACUCUAAAUGCAUCAUACAAGGAUUAGCAUGAUUAUUACAACAGAAUAAACAACAUUCCAACUUUAAAUGCAUAAUAACAUCAAGUAAAAAGAUAAUAAGGCAGAAAAAAGGGAAUUGCCACAUUUUUUACUUUUACUGCAUAACAAAAUCAGGUAAAAGCUAACAAACAGAAUUAGAACCAUUUUAACUUUAAACAUAACUAAUACAUUUUUUAUUUAAAUGUUUCCUCUCUAAAAGUAUCACAAUAUCCAUACAAAAAGUUAAGCAAAUUAAGAAAAUGCAGAUCAUGGUAUUGACCUUUCCAAGUUGUCUCUCUUGGAGCUGAACCAUUCCCCAUCAGAAUGUUAUCUUCAUUGUCGGGGUUGACAUUUUCCCUCCUUUUGGCUUCAUCGAUGCUCACCCUACUAACAUAGGGUGCACUUCCAUCACCUAUAAAUUCAAGCAUGAGAAGCAAGCAUGCGAUAAAGAUCAACUUUAUUUGCAAAAAAAUGGCAAUCUAUUUUAACAAUGGCAUGCAACCAAAGUUGAGAACAUAUUAUCAUGUGUGGAAGAUGGCAUUAUCUAGCAUGUUCAGAAUCCGGAUCAACAUUUGUAAAUUUACCACUGAUGGUAAAAGGGCUUGCUGUGUUUUGCAGAGAUAAAUGUUUGUACACAUUGUUUGCGUCCUCAUGUAUGUCAGCACUUGAACAAAGAGUGGAUCACAGAAAGAGAACCUUGAUACAAUACAAAAAAACUGUGGAUUUAUGGACCAGUUAGUGCUGCUGAAAUUUUAUUGGGAUUUUUUUCUUCAUCAAGUAAUGUUGCAGGGUUGACGACAGCAUGAAUAAAUCAAGGGAGAUAGUACAAGAUAUUAGAAACAAUGCUACUGAACAAGCUAGUAAAAGAUCCUUCCUAGGUGCCUACGUGUGCUAUCAUCAACACUUGCUAAAUAAGCAUGCACGUACCGCUAACUACAGAUCAUGGUAAGGUGAGCUAUCAUGCACAAUUGUGCUCCUGUAUGAAGCAAGUGUGCAUGCUGAACCUAGCUACAGAUCUUCACAAAUGAAAAGCUAGCUACAGAUCUUGCAAGAUGAGCCAGCAUACGUGCAUGUACAAGAUUAGAGGAACAUAGUUACAGUACGUCAGUACCAUGUCCAGCUUGCCGGAAACCAGCGCGUGCGUCUGGCGCCGGGGCACUACCCAAGCCCGACUGGAUGCGCCGCAUGCUGCUGCUCCCAUGGAGCCGUUCAACGCCCGAGCCCACCUGCCCCUACAUCGAAGUUGUGCGGCCGUUCUCCAUGGCGCUGCCACCACCGUCCAUGGACGGGAAAGAGACUGGGAGGGAGGAGAUUGGGAGGGAGGGAGACAAGGGAGGAGAUUGGGAGGGAGGGAGACGAGCUGGAUGGGAGGAGGCGGCGCUGCACCGCGCCCCCGCCUCACUCGCUAGGGUUUCGUUGCCCACAGUCGCCGCUCAGUCGGAUGGAGACGGGAAAAGUGAAUUUUAGGGUUAGGAGGAGAUGAAUUCGUGCUUUUAUACCAUAGGGGGGUUUGUGUGGGCUGUAGUAGACCAUGGGCUGGGCUGUGAGUUUAAAAGUGGCCGAAUUUUUUGGGCCGGUACACCCUAUUACCGGGCCCUAACAAGAUGGCCGAAAAUCGCUGGAAUUUCGGUUUUCUCGGACGAAAUCCAAAACUUUGGUCUGCAGGCCCUGAGCUGGCUGAUGUAUCUGCUUGGCAUGGAAUUGGCAGGCUUCGCAGGCCUUCACCAGCUCAAUUGCGUCGUUGAGUGCCGUAGGCCAGUAGAACCCGCUGCAAAACGCCUUGCCGACGAGGGUCCGCGACGACGAGUGGUGUCCACAAUCCCCACCGUGUAUGUCAGCCAGCAACUCCUUCCCCUGUUCCCUAGAGAUGCAACACAAGGAAACAUCAUUUGGCCGCUUCCGGUAGAGCUUCCCGUCUUGUAUGCAGUAGGCCGUGGCCUGCUGGGCUACGCGUUCCGCGUCCUCCUCUUUCUCUGGUAGCGUCCCCUGCAUCAGGUAGUCCUUGAAUUCCGUGGUCCAACAUUCCUCCUGAGGCUCCAUCGCCAGGAGCAAGCGUGCUCCCGAGGUCGGGCCACAGGCCGAGGCUCCUAUGGCAGGUGGUUGAGGGAGUUCCUCCCGAGGUUGCGCCAUGCUUGAUAGUGAAGGCGCUGCCGAUGGCUUGAAGAGUCAUUCCUCGAAAACGCCAGGCUCCUGAGGCAGCCGCCUGGAUGCCCUUUUGGCGAUGUCAUCAGCCUCUUGAUUGGUGUCUUGGGGCACGUCUGGAUACCCCCAUAUCCAGAACGUCGACAAGGUGCCGCCGCUCCCGUCCAGUGUCGGCCGCCGUGCUAAGGUUUUCUCCCGCGACUCCGAUCGAUCCGGUCGCUCCUCACCUCCGAUCGAUCCAAUCCAGCGCCUCGCAUCAAGCACACGGCAGGCCGCUCCUGUGUGCGCCUCAAAUUGGGACUGGUUGCACGCACAAACUGUCGCUCCUCUAGAUCCCUCAUUGAUGGACCCCUUUAGCUAAUAGCAACACGGGAUUGAACUCCGAUGACGUUUCAGCUCGCCACCACCAUCGCUGUUGGCCUUGGUUAGGGUUAGCGAGCACACCAAUCGCCCACGACUGAUCAGUUUGAUGCUUUUGGACCGAUCUUUCUCCUCGCGGAAAGCUCCCUCGUGUGGGCCGUUUUUCCCAAUUAACACAAAACGUCCAAAAAAAACCACCGGAGCAGCUGCCCGAGAAGGUCAGCUGCUCGUCAAGAAGACUGUACACGCGAUUUAGGUGCUAUUGAGAGCGAAUCCGACGGCCAAAAGCGACUAAAAGUGGCGAUCCAACGAUUAGAAAUGUUGAUGGCUGAGAGAGUUGGGAGGGUGUGACUGUACACGCGAUUUAGGUGCUAUUAAGAGCGAAUCCGACGGUCAAAAGCGACUAAAAGUGGCGAUCCAACGAUUAGAAAUGUUGAUGGCCUGAGAGAGUUGGGAGGGUGCUCAGUUAUAAUGUAUCUAACUGUAGUCGCUUGUUGAAAUCUCUAGAAAUACAAAUAUUUAGGAAUGGAGAGAGUAGUUCACAUUUAAAAAACUGUCGAAAACUUAGGCUUUGGAUUUAUUUUUUGAGAGAGGGUUUUUUUAGAAACUUUUGAGAGAGAUAGGAUGGGCCUACUUCCACCAAGGCCGGCCUAGUAGUUUGCUGAACCCAGCCCAACCAACCAACCAAGGCUCCUCCUUUGGUUUAUAGCCGAGGCGGAGCCACGGAGGAGGCGGUGCUGCUUUGCUUCGCUUCGCGGGAGGCAGGGAAAGUCGGCCAACCUCCCCGCUGCCGGCGUCGCCGUCGGUCGUGUCUCCGCCCGCAGGUGAGCCGCCGGCCUCCACCCGCCCCUCCCCUCCCCCUCCGCCUCCCCCGCCUAGGGUUUUGUGCUUCUCCAAGCAGAGCUGACGAGCAUUUCCCCCAUUCCGUUGUUCGUCGCUGCCGCAGGCCCCGCCGCCUCCGACCUCCUCUCCGGCGAGCUCGGCGACUCCCUCGACGCGGAUUCCGACGCUCCUCCCGCUUCCGCACGCCCGCAGGUGCAGGUGAGAAGCGCGCGCCCUCACCUCCCUCCCCCUCACCCCCUCUCCGACUCCCUCAGCAGCGCCAUCCCCUGCUCGUAGUCAGCAGUUAAUCGACGGGACGGAGGGCCCGUACGUAUCGCGGCCAACGUUCGCAUUCGGGGUCGGGAUUUUGGCCGGGAAGGUUGUGCGGUGACCUGUUCUUCGCCGGGAAUGUUUCCCUGCGAACUGCUCUUGGCCGACAGAUCGUUUCUGCAAAUUUUGGCCGGGAUUUGGGAUGGGGAUUUUGGCCGGGUUUCACGUCCCAGGCUCCCGGUUGUUCUGUUCUUAUUUACUAUUAGGUAUCAUAUUACUUGAGUUCUUAAGUUACUGCUGGGAUUCAUGAAUCAUGCCAAUGAUGCUGGCUAGCGUAUUCCGAGCAGAUAUUUCAACUGAUUGCUUAGUGCUAUGGUGAUCUGUUUACCGAGUGGCAUGAGAUUUUACUUGACUUGUUCUUAGUGCGUUGCUUAGCCCAAUUUGUGUGCACAUUGCUGUAAGAUGAGCUGUGCUGUGUGAUGUUCCUUUACAAUGAUAGACUCUGUCUCUCCUGCAUUCCGAUGCAUUUGUAAUUAAGUGACCUGUUGAUGUUGGGAUCGGUUCUUAGUUAUUGGUAUAAUUGAUGAAUGCUUGCUAAUGGUGCCACCAACUGUUUUGUUUGUUACCGUAUUCUGAGCAAAAAAUCAUUAAGAUUACCCUAGUUUCCGAGAAAUUGGUUGCUGAACCAAUUAUAUCUGUCAACCCUUGCUGAGUGUUAAGUACUAGGUGUUUUCUAGGAUACAGAUGCUUUCAAAAUUUUAAUUAGUUUCAAUUCUCCAGGCAAGCAUUCAUCUUCUUUUGAUUGGCAUUCAUCUUGCAUUGCGUCGAAUGCAGUACGCAACCUACGGUGUAAAGUGCUGGCUUAUUUCAUAUGCCAAGUGUGUAGGUGGAUACAUGUAUUUUCUGCCUAGACAAGAUUGAGCGCGUGUUCUCCCGAUUAGUUCUAGUUCAUUGUUGAGUAUUUAUAUUGCUUGCAUUCUUACUUAUUGUUGUGAUUCAUGAAUGCUUGCCGAUGGAGCCACGGCUGUUUUGUUUGUGACUUUAUUCCAAGCAGAUAUUGCAAGUGAUUGCUUGCGCUCUGGUGAUCUUCUUACUGAGAGGCAUGCUAUUUCACAUGACUUGUUUUUAGUGUGUUGCCUAACCCAAUUUGUGUGCACAUUGCUGUAGGGUGAGCUGUGUUGUGUGAUGUUCCUUUAUGAUGAUAGACUCUGUAUUUCCUGCAUUCGGAUGCAUUUGUACCUGAGUCACCUGCUGAUGUUGAGAAUCAUUUGCUAGUUUACUUGCGUUCUAAGUUACUGGUAUGAUUCAUCAAUGCUUGCUAAGGGUGCCACCUACUGUAUUGUUUGUUAGGUAUUCUGAGCAAACAAUCCUUCUGAUUUUGUUAGUUUCUGAGCAAAAUUGGUUUCUGAACCCAUUAUAUAUCUGUCAACCUUGGCUGAGUGUUUAGUAUUGGGUGUUUUCUAGGAUACGGAUGCUUUCACAAAGUUAAUUAGCUCCGAUUCUCCAGGCAAGCAUUCAUCUUCUUUUGAUUGACAUUUGUCUUGCAUUGCGUCGAAUGCAGCAUACAACGUAUGGUGUAAAAUGCUGGCCUAUUUCAUACGCCAACCGUGUAGGCGGAUGCAUGUAUUUUCUGACUAGACAAGAUUGUGAGUGUGUGUUCUCCCGAAUUAGUUCUAGUUCAUUGUUGAGUAUAGUCUGUAAAUUCUAUGGGCAUGGUGCAUUUGGAUGCAUAAUUAAUGAACUAUUUCAUUUUAUUAAUUUUUUUGGUUCCUGCUCUAAACCAUAUGUAUUUAUUGCAUCUGCUGAUGUUGAGAUCCAUCUGCUAUAAUAUAUAGUUUACUUGGGUUCUUAGUUAUUUGUGUAAUUCGUGAAUGAUUGUUAAUGGUGCCACCAACUCUUUUGUUUUUUACCGUAUUCUCAGCAAAAAAAUCCUACCAACUGUUUUGUUUGUUAGUGCAUUCCCAGAAAAAAAUCCUUGUUUUUCUGUUUUGUCCGUUACUGUAUUCUGAGCAGAUAUAGCAGCUGAUUGUUUGAGCUCUUGUGAUCUUCUUACUGAGUGGCAUGCAAUUUCAGCUGACUUGUUUUCAGUGCGUUGCCUAGCCCAACCUGUAUGCAGACUUCUGUAAGAUGGGCUGUGCUGUGGGAUGUUCUGUUGGAAUUAACUUACUGCAUCGAGUAUACUAGUACUUACUAUUUUGUUUGUUCCCAAGAAAGAUUCUUGAUGUGUGCUUUGCUGCUUUAUGAUGAUGAAAGCUGAACCUGAAUGUCGAUGGUAUGUGUCGUCCAGAAUUAGUUCUAGUGAAUUGUUUGAGUUAGUUGUUCUUCUUUGCAAUAACGAAUUCUUGACAAGUUGGUGCCUCCUUCACAAAUUGUGUAGCUGAACAGAAACAGUUCUUUUUCUUCACUUUUGAUUUGUACUCCCUCCGUCCGGAAAUAUUUGUCAUCAAAAUGAAUUAAAAAGGAUGUAUCUAGACAUAUAUUAGUUCUACAUACAUCUCUUUUUAUCCAUUUUGAUGACAAGUAUGUUCGGACGGAGGGAGUACUAGUUUUGUUUUACGGGCAAAAAAAAAAGUACAGCUGAUCGAAUGACUGAAUCGAUUUAUCUCCCAAUCAAGUACCAUCUGUUCGAUACUACAUACUUACAAAAUUAUGCAUCGCGUUGCAGAGAUACCUCGUCAUUGGUGUCCACAAUGUCGCGGACAACUUGCAGCUGCCCCAAGUGUUUCCAAGGGUAUGUGUACAAGCGCACACAUUUAGAAUGACCUGAACCUGAUCUAUCCAGUCAGCUGGUUAAGGCUAAUUGCUUUGUUAUGUGCAGCACUUGUGACUGUUUAAUAAGGAAUGCGUUAUGCUGUUCGGGGUGCAACUGCGGUGGUGACUGCCAGAAAGACUUAUCUCUUGGAACAAUCAACCCGGCUGCUGCCCAAGGUACCACCCCAACGCUUGCCUCUGGCUCUUCUGCUGCCCAAGAUACUGCUCAAACACAACCGCUUGCACCGAGCUCUUCUACUGCCCAAGGUAUCACUCAACCACAACCACUUGCCCCGAGCUCUUCUACUGCGGCGGUGCCAAAGCCAGAGGCAGUGGUGAAGUGCAACUGCAACGUUACCAAAUGCAUAAACUGGUAUGUUCAAACACAGUGGCUGAAUUAUCUGAACCAGAUCUAUCCAGUCAACUAGUAGUAGUUAAUUGGUAUAUUAGUUGUCCAAAGCUGCCAUCUAACUGUUGCUUGAUAUAUUGCGUGCAGCCAAUGCAUAUGUUUCAAGGAGGGUUUGAGUUGCGUUAUGGGACGCUGCAAGUGCUAUGACUGCGAGAACAACCAUGAUUGGCUGGUAAGAUAUUCGUUAGAGGCCACUGCAUUCAUGAACACCGUGCUGCUCUGGUGUUUGCCAAGAACAUGAAACAAAUAUGUUGCACUUAUUCCAGGCCGACGAGGAUUACGAGGAUUGCGCGUGCAAAACCAAAAAUUGCAAAACCGGACACUGCAGUUGCAACAAGGUGCACGGUCCUUCCUUCUUGUGUAUUCGUGUCAGCUUUAUCUCCUUUGCAAAAGACUAGACAUGCUUAUUCUUUCUCUGAUCCUGACUGAGGCUAGUUGGUGCUUGUUUUGAAGAAACUGAAAGGGUGUAACCCAAAUUGCACGUGCAUAGGGUGUGAAAAUGGCUAUGGGAUGAAAGGGGGUAUGUGCAUGACACUUUCUUCUUUUAUGUGUGUUGUUUCAUUCGUAGCUUGGAUAAUCAUGCUAGUGUAAAUCUCUGUUGCUCUGCAUGUACAAAGCAGCUGAUAAGUCCAAUGCUGGACCGGGAGGUACGGGUGGCACAAGUGACGCCGGAGGCUCAGGUUCCAACAAUCAAAUAAGAAUCGGGGUAAGUUUGUGCUUCCACUUGGGAAGUUUGUUGAGAGAAAUCAUAGGUUAAUUAUGUGUAUGUCUGCCCCAAUCUGUUGAGGGAUAAGCAACUAAUCGAGGUGAUGUGCUCCUUUUGUGCAGUGAUGACAGUAGGCUUCAGACAUACGAGAGCAUGAUGCAAGUCACCUUACCUACUUAUACCAUCCUCAAGUCACCUCCUGUUCAGACAUCUCCCACUGUAAAGCACGGCCAGGUUCCUGUAGAUUCCUUGUAAUGGUUGGUUGGUUACUCGAAGCAAGCACGGCGACAACUCCAUGUUCCUCAGCCCUCAGGGGGCUCCAGUGGACCUUGAUUGAUCAGACUGAUACACUUUAGAACAUAUAUACUUCUGAGUCACGUAAGAAUAGUUGUCGUCAUCGGUCGGCGUCCAUACAUGCUGCCCGGAAAUCGGUACUUCAGUACGUUCUUAUACAUGCACAGUCUUGCAAAGGAUUUCUCUUAUACUUUAAGAAGAUUCUGGUAGUAUGAAUUUGGUUUGCAGCUUUGCAUAUUCUGGUAGUAUAAAUAUGGUUAUUCUUUGUAUAGACCAGUUACACAAGCAGCACUCUGGUUGCUUGCUUGGAACAACAAAUGACAUCUUAGAUAUUGGGAACCAUUUGGUUCAGUAAGCGUUCGGUUUUUCUCCACCGACUAAAUUCAGCACACGAGGCAUGUCCGGAAAGCUCUGAGGCCUUACUGCGAUUCCAUACCUCACACGGGUCCAGCCUAAAUGCUGGCGCACGCAGUGUGUUCUGGGCGAAAGAAUCAAGCGCACCCAAUGUAGUGCUACCGGUCCAACAGGUUUAAAUUAUUUUAUUAAAAAGUCUAUUUGCGAAUGGUGAAUGUUUUAGGAAAAACCGAAAAAGUUCAGUUGUACUCCCUUGGUUCCUAAAUAUUUAUCUUUCUAGAGAUUUCAACAAGUGACUACAUACGGAGCAAAAUGAGUGAAUCUACACUUUAAAAUAUGUCUAUAUGCAUCCGUAUGCGGUAGUCUAUUUUAAAUCUCUACAAAGACAAAUAUUUAGGAACGGAUGGAGUAGUAACAAGAUGGUGGGGUAAUAUUGGCAAUAAGUUGAUCUUACGGUUCGAUCACCAUGUGUGAGUAAUUCGGUAAGGCAAUGGGUUGAGGGCUUGAGGCAUAUCCCUGCAACCCGAUGUAUUUGUACAAAUGAUCAAUAGAAUGACUGAAUAUUUAACGUCAUGUAUGUGCUCGAUUGCAACGGAAUUGUCUCUUGUCUCUUUAUCGUUUUAAGGCCCCGUGGGUACCCAGAAUCCCGGAGAUUAAGGUAGGGAGUGAAUGCUAUUAUGAACACAAGUGACCCAAAGAUUUAGUAUGGCCGUGGAAAGCCAAUUCGUGGGGCUCUAUGAGAUGUAGUCAUUAAACAUCCAAUGUUUUUGCCUGAAUAUUUAUUCUUAAUAAUUAAGGUAAUAAGGGGUGGUUGGACAAGUGACUCUUGAUGCACGUCGCGCACUGAUCAAGACAUAAUUUAGACACAUCCCCCACAUCAUUGCUUCACAAUCACAUCUUAAUGGGUGUCUUCCAGAGCACAAAUUAAGAUCCAUCACAAAUACAUGGUUGUAAGAACACGAUCUCGUACCCAUGCAUAUUUUUAAUACUAGUGUUUACACCCCUAAGGUUGCUAAAGGUCCGGUUGAAAAAUUGGAAUUUAAUUCGUUAACACAGACUUGUUAGAGCCUUUGUCGUAGUGCACAUCCUCUUAUGGAUUCGAUAACUUAGGGUCACACCUUCGGGAAAAGGCCAAAUGAUACUUCACAAUCCGAGUCUCCACAACACAAAGUACCAUCGAUGCACAAUCUCAUGCGAGGUCGCGCAACUCAUGAACCACCGCGGGAUCGCCCAACCCGCGACAGUUCCAACAUAGGGUAUUCAUUGCUCCUGGUGUUCCUCCUCAACGAAGGCCACCGGCCAAUUCAACUUCUGAUUUAAUUGACUUGCUCGGGAAUCCCUUUCUUUGCUCUCUUAUGUUCCUGCGGUGACACAUACACUCGCGGGGGCGAGUGGAAUACCAUUUCCCUCCCUAUAGUGGCAAUGAACUGGCAACCAUGCUCUUUGAUGCAUUUGGUUCCAUCACCCCCACUAAAAUACCCGAUAGGACUAUGCGUAACAGAUAGGUUUUCAAUUAACACUACAAGAAACCUGCUUAUCUGUGACGGUUUUCGGGUGACGGUCCUACAAUCCGUCAUAGUUUAUGACGGUAUUCGGUAUGCCGUCACGGAAACUGUCACCGAUCAGUGAGCCGUUGAUGGGCCUGCGUUGGGCAUCCCCGUAAUGACGGCCUGACAUAAUCUGUCGCACAAAUCGUCAGGGAUUGAACAAUUGGGCCUGAUCAGGCUUCAUUUUUAUUAUAUAUAUAUAAGUCAGACCGUCAUGGAUUACCACUUGCGCUGAUGUGGCAUGCAUCGCCUUGUUUCGCCCACAUGUCAGUUGGAUAAUACAAAGGGAUUAAAAAAAUUGUCCGUGCAUAUUCUCAAUUAGCCUGAGAUCAGAAGAACGAACCGCUCAAUCCCCUCGGCCGUCGGUGCCGCCAGCGCCGCCGCCGACUGCCCCCUCGGCCGUCGGUGCCGCCAGCGCCACCGCUGACUGCCCGGGCGAGGGUCCUUAGAUCCGACGAGUUGGGAGUGUGGGCGCCAUCUUCCAGAUCCUGUCCAAGUCGCCGCCAACGCUGAUGAGCCAAUCGCCAACCGCCGCCCACCAUUGUCUCGUGCGUAGGAGUCAGCCGCCGGCCGCCGUUUCUGCAACAAUCACUCCUUGUUGCCCAGCCUCAACAUCGGCCCAGUUAGGUACGUCUCAGAUUAAAAUCUGAAUUUGAUCUGUUUCUGAACACUUGAGCGUACAUAGAGAAAUAAGAUGGUUUUCUCCUUGGUAUUGUUAUUCCAUUAUACUAGUUGAUUUAUUGAGCCGAAUGUCUUUUUGGGUACUGCAAACUCGAGUGGUGCUGUUCAAAAACAAAUUCCUCUUGCUGAUUCCAGUGGUGUUGAUAGACUGUAGAAUAGGAAAAGUACUUUGCAGUCACCAUGUUCUCAGUUUCUCACAGAUCACCAAUACUAUGUGUUAGUACAGACUAGCCAAUUCGUAUUGAAGUUUAUCGGUUUGAACUAAUGUACAUGUAAGAUGGAGCGAUUGUGUCGUAGCUUAUAAUAAUAUUACCAGUUAGUUAGUAGUAUCUACAUGUAAGAUGGAGAGAUUGUUAAGUUUCAGAAAUACACCUACUGGAGUAUGCUUCAGAAAUACACCUACAGUUUGUUUGUUUUUUUAGCCUAUUCAUUCCAUUAACCAAAAAGCUCAGCAACAUCGCUGGCUACCAAUUCAUGCACAAAUUCAGGGGCACCAUCCGGCCAUACGGCUGGGGAUGAGAGACCUGACACUGCACCAUACAUCGCAAGAGCAUCUGCGACUUUAUUACAUACCCUCGGGCAAUAUGAAAUGCGAAAGAAAUUAAAUUUUAAACAAGCAAAAUAUUUAAUCUCCUUGAAGAGGAUCCCAUUUAUUGCCAAAUCAAUAUUAACCUUCAGUACAUCAUAUCCUGGAGGAAUCCAUCUGUCCUGUAGCAGCGUAGUAGUAUCCUGCUUUUUCUCAACCAACAUAAUAUCCUAUAAUGCACUCUUGACUCGCUUGAUUACAGUUGUGGUAUUUCUCAGCGGCUCGCCUGCGUUCCUUUUAUUUCUCGUGUCACACCACACCCAAAGCAUCGUGAUGCACUUAAUUUUCUUUUCGUCAGGUAGCGCUAGAAUUUUGGUAACUAGCUCCUUCCGCCCCUGCUAAUCCAGAAGCCGAAUUCUUAUUUUGCUCCAAUUGCAUCUCCCUCCAUAGUGGCUUGACAUUUUUGCGUCGGUCCAUGUUCUUUCGAGCUGCUGCCUACUGGAGUAUGCUCUUUUAUAUAACUUUAUGCAAGUGAUGCACCUGGUACUAGACUCAUAAACAUGUCAAUUUUGCUAUAUGUUUGUGUUGUGAUUUUGUACAUUAUGUAACAGUAAGUGAACUUGCUUUUCCUCCUCUGUGCAAGUUGUUUUUGUAGGUCAUAUAUCUUACUAUGAAUUGAUGUUUUGCAGAGCAUGUUUCCUGGGAACUGCUAGUAAGUAUGUUUCCUCAUUGAUUAUUUACCUUUGAUUAAGUUGGUCUUUUUCUAUAAUGCAGAUGGAUAGAUCUUGGAUUCGUGGCACACUGUUCUCUCGAGAGUACGUCAAUGGUGUCAAAGAGUUUAUGAACUUAAUUCAAGCAAAAUUCAGCGAGGGUGAAGAAAUACUAUGCCCAUGUAGAGAAUGCCUUAAUCGCAAAUACUGGCAUCAAGCUGUUGUGAACAAGCACAUAUUGACGCAUGGCAGGGAAAGUACAUAUACUCGUUGGAUAUAUCAUGGAGAAGACUUCAAUGCAAAUGUUAUUGAGCAUCUUGUUGAUGUGCAUGACUCCGAGGAUGGUAACAAUGGUGCUGACCGAUUUGAAGAGAUGUUUGGCGACCUAUGCACAGCAGUACAACAAGAUCAGAAGAAAACUGAAAAUGAAGACGGUAACAAUGGUGCAAAUCCUUCUAACACUGAGUCCUUUUUGAAGAACGUGAGAAAAGAGGCAAAGCGGCACCUUUAUCAUGGUUGUACCAAGUUUUCAAGGUUCUCAUUUGUGGUGAAUCUUCUUCAUUUGAAGUCAUGCCAUAGGAUCACAAAUAGUGCAUUUACUGACAUUUUGAAGCUACUGGCUGAAGCAUUCCCUCAACCCAAUACACUCCCAAAAUCUUAUGACGAAGCAAAGAAUCUUCAAAAGGAAUUAGGCCUUGGGUAUGAGUCUAUACAUGUGUGCAUCAAUAAUUGUGUUUUGUUCAGAAAGCAAUAUGCCAAGCAUGACAACUGCCCAGUCUGUGGCAUGUCAAGGUGGAAAGACCCUGAUAGAAAGAAGAUACCACAGAAAGUUUUGAGGCAUUUUCCAUUGGUGCCUAGGCUGAAGAGGAUGUUUCUUUCCAAAAAAGCAUCAGAAGAAGCACAGUGGCACAAGCUAAAGAGGCAACCCAGUGAGAAGGAAAUGAGCCAUCCAGCUGACGGUGAUGUGUGGCAAGAUUUUGAUAAAAAAAUGUCCAAAAUUUGCAGAAGAUGCCAGAAACAUGAGGCUUGGCAUCGCCACUGAUGGGUUCAAUCCUUUCGGAAACUUUAACACAACCUAUAGUAUGUGGCCUGUAUUUGUUGUGCCAUACAACCUUCCACCUUGGGCAUGCAUGGAUCAGUCAAAUUUCAUGAUGGCUCUAUUGAUUCCAGGUCCUAAAUCACCAUGGGAAGCACUUUGAUGUCUUCUACAGCCACUUGUAGAAGAUUUAGUUGAGCUUUGGAAGGGUGUGCGUACAUAUGAUGCUCGUGAAGGAAAAAUGGUUGAUCUUCAUGCUGCAGUUCUAUGGUUCAUUCACGAUUACCCACCUCUGAGCACUCUUUCAGGGCGUACCACAAGAGGCUAUGUUGCAUGUAUUCAUUAUGACAAACACCCUCUUUCCUACGGCCUAAGGCACAAAAUUGGGUAUAUUGGCAUUAUCGUUUCCUUCCGGACAUCGUUUGCGAAGAAACAAUGAAUUUGUUGGUUUUCAUGAACGCAAUGAUGAGCAGGUAAAUUCUCAAAGGAAGAUCUACAAGCAGAAUUGGAGAAGGUUAGACCUGGGCAACAAGAAGAAAGUAGGAAAAGAAAGCGUUCUGACUUGGGCAGCAAGAAGGCUUAUGUGCCAAUUUGGAGUCGGAGGGUUUGUUUGUGGGAUUUGGAUUAUUGGGAUAAAUUGAAGCUGAGAAAUAAUCUUGAUGUCAUGCAUAUAGAGAAAAACAUUUGUGAAAACCUCAUUGGGACAAUUCGACAUGGAGGGGAAGACGAAGGACACACUUAAUGCUAGGCUUGAUCUCCAAGAUUUGAAUAUUAAAGAGGAGUUGCAUUUGAGGAAGGAUGGAAACUCAUAUGAGAUGCCUCGGGCCCGGUAUACCUUGUCUAAAGAACAAGUGGUUGCAUUUUGUCAAUUUUUACGAGAGUUAACGUUUCUAGAUGGGUUUGCUUCCAACAUAUCCAGAUGUACAAGUGCUGAUGGAACAGGUCCAAGGCCUAAAAACACAUGAUUGUCACAUUCUUUUGC